GAUGGACUCUUCCUUUCUCUGUCUCUCCGGCGUCUGACUGAGGCAUGUUUUUGGGACUCUAGUGAGAAGGACUCCGGUUUUCAGAACACCUGCAAUAUAGGCAGAGCACCAAUCUAAGCCUGCAGAGACUAGACAAGAACAGCUGGAAGAUGUCUUCUUUCCCUCCUUCCUUCCCCUUGUGCCCCCUCCUCAAACUAGAAAGUGAUGGGAUCUUUGUGUCAUUUGCAUGAUGACUUCUGGGACUCCUGUGAAUUAGUUGCUUCUUCCUCCUGUGUUUCUCCAACCGAGGGCCACUGCUUAAAUUGAACAAAUGAUGCAUCACAAAAUUACAAGGGGACUCUUCAAAUUCAAGGUUGGUGCAAUCUGUAUAUAAUUGUAUUGUAACAGUGGUCCAGCAGAGGGCAGUAAAGUGUCAUGAAACAGAGUUGCCUGGUGACCUGUGCUGCACCUUUGUGAGUUCGCAGCGACCGGGCUUCACACACGGGACUUAUUGGAGUCACUACUAAGCUGAGGCCACAGCAGAAAGACCACUACAUUUUGCAUGACCUAGGGGCUCCAUGCCAGCCUGUCUGCACCAGAGCCCUUUCAAAGCACGUGGUUUAGUUCAGGGCUCACAUUGGAUGUUGCCUGGUGUUGUUUGGCCAGCAAGGGCUCCCUGCCAGGAUCCAUGAGUCGGCGUCUUGAAGUGAGAGACAGGACCCUCUGCUCUUCAGGUUCUAUCAGUGCAAAGAGGGCCCACUAAGACCGUCUCCGCAGGGCCCCAUCUGACAGGCACCAGACAAAGCUCCUCACACUCCGUAAAUGCCACUCAUCAUGAAUGUGGCUAUGAUUAAAUCGUGAUGAGGACAGUGACCCACAAGACUGGAAAACCACUUUGGCACCUUGACGCAGAUGUUUUCAAGGACCGGGUUAGAGAACGUGUACCAUCAUUCCACUUUUAGCUGUUUUGUUUCAUUACAACCUUUUUAGUUUAGCAUGACAACCAUAACAAGUACAAUAUUUUGG
rnacentral:lncRNA from 1 species